rnacentral:rRNA from 1 species
CCAACAGGGGAUUCCCCCUAGUAGCUGGCGAAUGAAGCGGGAAAAGCUCAAGUUUGAAAUCUGAUGGGCUCGUCCCCUCAGAGUUGUAAGCUGAAGAGGCAUAGACCGACGUUGUCUGGGCCCAAUUUCCUUGGAACAGGAAGUCAUGGAGGGUGAGAACCCCGUCCGUGGCUCUGAGCCUUCGUCCUUGUGUCGUGUCCUCGAAGAGUCGGGUUGUUUGGGAAUGCAGCUCAAAAUGGGUGGUAAAUUCCAUCUAAGGCUAAAUAUUGGCGAGAGACCGAUAGCAAACAAGUAGAGUGAUCGAAAGAUGAAAAGUACUUUGAAAAGAGAGUGAAACAGUACGUGAAAUUGUUGAAAGGGAAACACUUGAAGUCAGUCGCGUCUUCCGGAAUUCAGCCUUGCUUCUGCCUGGUGCAUUUUCCGGUUUGACGGGCCAGCAUCAGUUUUGGUGGGCGGACAAAGGCAUGGGGAAGGUGGCAGCUCCGGCUGUGUUAUAGCCCCUUGUUGUACGCGCUCGCUGGGACUGAGGAAUCCGGUGCUUGCACCUGGGAUGCUGGCGUAAUGGCUUUAAAUGACCCGUCUUGAAACACGGACCAAGGAGUGCUACAUGCUCGCGAGUGUUUGGGUGGAAAACCCGAGCGCGAAAUGAAAGUGAAAGUCGAGACCCUUUGCGGGGGCAUCGACGCCCGAGCCUGACGUUUUCUGAAGGCCUUGCGGUAGAGCGAGUACGUUGCGACCCGAAAGAUGGUGAACUAUUCCUGAGGAGGGCGAAGCCAGAGGAAACUCUGGUGGAGGCUCGUAGCGGUUCUGACGUGCAAAUCGAUCGCAGGACUUGGGUAUAGGGGCGAAAGACUAAUCGAACCAUCUAGUAGCUGGUUCCUGCCGAAGUUUCCCUCAGGAUAGCAGAAGCUCA